rnacentral:rRNA from 1 species
AUUGAACGCUGGCGGCAUGCCUUACACAUGCAAGUCGAACGGCAGCACGGGUGCUUGCACCUGGUGGCGAGUGGCGAACGGGUGAGUAAUACAUCGGCACGUACCUUAUCGUGGGGGAUAACGCAGCGAAAGCUGUGCUAAUACCGCAUACGCCCUGAGGGGGAAAGCGGGGGAUCGCAAGACCUCGCGCGAUUAGAGCGGCCGAUGCCUGAUUAGCUUGUUGGUGGGGUAAAAGCCCACCAAGGCGACGAUCAGUAGCUGGUCUGAGAGGACGAUCAGCCACACUGGGACUGAGACACGGCCCAGACUCCUACGGGAGGCAGCAGUGGGGAAUUUUGGACAAUGGGGGCGACCCUGAUCCAGCAAUGCCGCGUGAGUGAAGAAGGCCUUCGGGUUGUAAAGCUCUUUUGUCAGGGAAGAAACACCGGCUCUAACACAGUCCGGGAAUGACGGUACCUGAAGAAUAAGCACCGGCUAACUACGUGCCAGCCGCCGCGGUAA